UGCCCCAUCUUGUCUGCCGGCAGCAUGC
rnacentral:piRNA from 1 species